rnacentral:rRNA from 1 species
UGAUGCCUACGGGGGGCAGCAGUCGGGAAUAUUGCGCAAUGGAGGAAACUCUGACGCAGUGACGCCGCGUGCAGGAAGAAGGUUUUCGGAUUGUAAACUGCUUUAGACAGGGAAGAAACAAGACAGUACCUGUAGAAUAAGCUCCGGCUAACUACGUGCCAGCAGCCGCGGUAAUACGUAGGGGGCAAGCGUUAUCCGGAUUUACUGGGUGUAAAGGGAGCGUAGGUGGCAUGGUAAGCCAGAAGUGAAAACCCAGGGCUCAACUCUGUGGAUUGCUUUUGGAACUAUCAAGCUAGAGUGCUGGG